rnacentral:tRNA from 1 species
GAAACAUUAGUCUAAAAAGACAGCUGAUUUCGACUCAGCAGAUUAUGUUCAACCCCAUAAUGUUUC